AGGGAAUCUUCCGCAAUGGGCGAAAGCCUGACGGAGCAACGCCGCGUGAGUGAUGAAGGUCUUCGGAUCGUAAAACUCUGUUAUUAGGGAAGAACAUAUGUGUAAGUAACUGUGCACAUCUUGACGGUACCUAAUCAGAAAGCCACGGCUAACUACGUGCCAGCAGCCGCGGUAAUACGUAGGUGGCAAGCGUUAUCCGGAAUUAUUGGGCGUAAAGCGCGCGUAGGCGGUUUUUUAAGUCUGAUGUGAAAGCCCACGGCUCAACCGUGGAGGGUCAUUGGAAACUGGAAAACUUGAGUGCAGAAGAGGAAAGUGGAAUUCCAUGUGUAGCGGUGAAAUGCGCAGAGAUAUGGAGGAACACCAGUGGCGAAGGCGACUUUCUGGUCUGUAACUGACGCUGAUGUGCGAAAGCGUGGGGAUCAAACAGGAUUAGAUACCCUGGUAGUCCACGCCGUAAACGAUGAGUGCUAAGUGUUAGGGGGUUUCCGCCCCUUAGUGCUGCAGCUAACGCAUUAAGCACUCCACCUGGGGAGUACGACCGCAAGGUUG
rnacentral:rRNA from 1 species